rnacentral:lncRNA from 1 species
AAAAAAAAGUUGAUUUGGUAUUUUUCAUGAAAAAGAAUAGUGAUUUCGGGAUACUGAAAUAAAAUCUGCCUUACUGAAAUGGUAUUUCGGUUUACUAAGAUGUUAUCUAAUUUACUUGGAUAACAUAUAAAAAUGAAUAACUUAUAAGUAUAAGUUAUGAUGUGAUUAAAAGAAUAUCAAAGUAUAAUAAUAAUAUUAAGACUUAAAACUAAUGUCUAAUACUUAACUAUAUGUUAUGACUAACCGAAAGAUCUAUUAUAGGUUUUAUAUGCUGUAUAGACUGAUAGGAGUAUGUGGAAAUAUGUUUAAGUUAUUUUAUAACAAUGAUGAUAUUAUUAUAAUAUUGGAGAUCUAUAUUAUUAAUAUUAGGUCUUCAGGAGAAGCGUAUUAUAUUGCGUUACGGUAAUCAACGGUUCAGGCAAGUUUUUUUUCAAGUUCUUUUUUACUUAAACUCUUUUAAGAGUGUUUUCAGACAGAUAUGCUUAUGAAUUGUACUCUGUACAAAUUGCAUGUAUUCAUCAGGUAUGAAAGGCUGAUCACCUUCAUUACCAGUCAGUUCAGAUAUAAUUGUUAUGUUCAUUUUCAAUGUUCAUUCAACUUUGAAAUUUUGUUCGUGCUAAUUCACAACUACAUUGUGAAGGAUAGCCAGCUUAUUAUUCAAACUCUUUCAAUAUCUUUACCUUGUUUUUUUAAACUUGCUGGGCAACUUUCAUGCUCACCCUUGCUAUAUCAUGAUAAAACAUUGCAGAUAAGGCGAAUACGGCCAGUUACAGGAAAAGGAAAAUGCCAAGUUCAGCUUGGGAUAGAAUGUGCAGCUAAUUUGUAAAAGUAUGGUUGAAGAAUAGUAUUGUCAUGUGUUAGAUAGUUUAUGAUUGUGUAUUAGUUAAGGUUACUCGAUUUUGGGGAAAUAGUGUAUAAAGUUUAAUGUAUAAACAAUUUAUGUUUAUAUCUUCCGCAAUAGUGAUAGAAUUAGUAUACCGGAUCCGCGGCGAUUUGGGACCCGGAUUCGGGGACGCCACAUAGGCUAUGAAAACAGUGAUACUCAAGCUAUG